GGGAAGAGGGGGGGGGGAGCGGAGGUACUGCGGAGGGGGGAGAGGUGGUCGUGAAUGAUUGUGCGUAAAGGGCGCGGAGGUGGUUUGUCGCGUCUGCUGGGAAAACCUAGGGCUUAACCCUGGGCCUGCAGUGGAUACGGGCAGACUAGAGGUAGGUAGGGGAGAAUGGAAUUCCCGGUGUAGCGGUGAAAUGCGCAGAUAUCGGGAGGAACACCGGUGGCGAAGGCGGUUCUCUGGGCCUUACCUGACACUGAGGAGCGAAAGCGUGGGGAGCGAACAGGAUUAGAUACCCGAGUAGUC
rnacentral:rRNA from 1 species